CACCUCUGGCAAUGGGUAAAGAUACAUCUUGUUGGUUAUGGUGUUCUUCUAUCAGACAGGGGCAGAGUAGAUGGCAGUCUUUUGUUCAUCUAAGCUUGAUGGCUGGCACGGUGGUCAAAGCUCUUUUAUGCUGAGGACUCAUAG